rnacentral:misc_RNA from 1 species
UCAGUGCUUCACUUUUGUCUUCUCACAGCUGCCGUUUUUGAACUCAUUUUACUCACCUUCUCACCUCUCGCCUUCUCCUCAUUCUACAAAAUGUCGCAGUUGGCUCACAACCUGACGCUCUCGAUCUUCGAGCCGGUUGCGAACCACCGGGCGACCCGGAUCGUGUGCACUAUCGGCCCUAGCACGCAGAGCGUGGAGGCGCUGAAGGGACUGAUUCAGAGCGGCAUGUCUGUUGCGCGCAUGAACUUCUCGCAUGGGUCACACGAGUACCACCGGACGACAAUCAACAAUGUGCGCCAGGCCGCCGCGGAGCUCGGUGUGAAUAUCGCGAUCGCGCUGGACACAAAGGGGCCCGAGAUUCGGACGGGACAGUUCGUUGGUGGCGAGGCCGUGAUGGAGCGAGGCGCGACAUGCUACGUGACGACAGACCCUGCGUUUGCUGACAAGGGCACCAAGGACAAGUUCUACAUCGACUACCAGAACCUGUCGAAGGUGGUGCGCCCUGGCAGCUACAUCUACAUCGACGACGGCAUCCUGAUCCUGCACGUGCAGAGCCACGAGGACGAGCAGACGCUGAAGUGCACGGUGACUAACGCGCACACGAUCUCUGACCGACGCGGUGUGAACCUGCCGGGGUGCGACGUGGACCUGCCGGCUGUGUCGGCGAAGGACUGCGCGGACCUGCAGUUUGGCGUGGAGCAGGGCGUGGACAUGAUCUUCGCGUCGUUCAUCCGGAGCGCGGAGCAGGUGGGCGAGGUGCGGGAGGCGCUUGGCGCGAAGGGACGUGACAUCAUGAUCAUCUGCAAGAUCGAGAACCACCAGGGCGUGCAGAACAUCGACUCUAUCAUUGAGGAGAGCGACGGCAUCAUGGUUGCGCGCGGCGACCUCGGUGUUGAGAUCCCAGCGGAGAAGGUGGUGGUUGCGCAGAAGAUCCUGAUCAGCAAGUGCAACGUUGCCGGCAAGCCGGUCAUCUGCGCGACGCAGAUGCUGGAGAGCAUGACGUACAACCCCCGCCCGACGCGCGCUGAGGUAUCGGAUGUCGCUAACGCUGUCUUCAACGGUGCGGAUUGCGUGAUGCUGUCUGGUGAGACGGCGAAGGGCAAGUAUCCGAAUGAGGUGGUUCAGUACAUGGCGCGCAUCUGCCUAGAGGCGCAGAGCGCCGUUAACGAAUACGUCUUCUUCAACAGCAUCAAAAAACUGCAGCCCAUCCCGAUGAGUGCUGAGGAGGCUGUUUGCAGCAGUGCCGUGAACUCUGUGUAUGAGACCAAGGCCAAGGUAAUGGUGGUGCUGAGCAACACCGGCCGCAGCGCUCGACUGGUGGCGAAGUACCGUCCGAACUGCCCGAUUGUGUGUGUGACGACGCGUCUGCAGACGUGCCGCCAGCUGAACAUCACACAAGGCGUGGAGAGUGUUUUCUUUGAUGCAGAAAAGCUCGGCCACGAUGAGGGCAAGGAGCAGCGCGUGGCCAUGGGUGUUGGAUUCGCCACGUCGAAGGGCUAUGUGCAGACUGGUGACUACUGCGUUGUGAUUCACGCUGAUCACAAGGUCAAGGGCUACGCCAACCAGACGCGCAUUCUUCUCGUCGAGUAAGUCUUAUUUCCAUUCGUACCUUGUCGCCACCCUUUCCUAUACAGGGCGAAUCUUUACUGUGGUGUAUUCUCUCCUUUGGCUCGUCAGCCCCAGCAUUCAGCCUUUCGACAUGUGUUUACGGUUACUAUGUUCUGUGGCUUGUUGUUGCUUUUUCCCUCUCGUGUGCGCGGUCUGUCGUACCUUCACGAAUGACGACAUCAGUUUUUUUUCUAUAUUCUGUUUUUCUCCCGGCUCCCCUCGUGUCUACCCAUUUCUUUGUGCUGCGAGCAGCAGUAUGUCGUCGCACAACAUCGUGAGCUGUGUGAGUGUGUUGGUGGUGGUGGCCCGGCAGCUACCAGAGGGAGGAGAGGGCGUGAGGCGGGGCUUCCCGCAUAUGAAGAAUAACGUUUUUUUUUUCAAGCUGGAGAAGGUGUCUGAAUCGGUGGCAGCUUUUCUGUUACGUAGGACUGCAGCCUUUCUCACCUAUUUCAAACACGCUAAAGCGCUGCGCCUUUACGUGCCCUCUCUUUCCCUCUACCUGUCAUCUCUCUUUUCUCAGAAGACCGCCGCCGUAGGUUUUUUUUCGCCCGGGUAUACGCCUCUUUCUCGCCUUGCACUUUCGCCGCACAAAAAAAGGUUCACAUCCACAGUGCAACCUUCAGUACAGCUGUUCGCUGCCUUAGAUACCUUAUCGCGUACAAUGCCACGUUCUCGACUCCUUUAUCUUUCUACUUUGGUGUUUCAUCGAGUGAAAGGCAUCAUCACGGCACUGCUCUCAGUCACAUCCGUGGUGCUUCCUAUUCGUGCCGGCAAU